rnacentral:lncRNA from 1 species
GUACCUCCGUGAACCCGAUCUGAGAAAUUCAAGUUUCUGCAUCCUUCUAUGUUUGAUAAGGUCAUUUUGAACGGUCGGAUUGAACGUGGCUGGUGUCGUUCACGAUCGAGGCACGUUUAGGUCCCCGCAGUGAACUAGUUCCUAAGUUGACUAGUCAAUUAGGUGAUAGUUCGUCCGGAUGACUUGACUAGUCAAUUAGGUGAUAGUUCGUCCGGAUGACGUACCUCCGUGAACCCGAUCUGAGAAAUUCAAGUUUCUGCAUCCUUCUAUGUUUGAUAAGGUCAUUUUGAACGGUCGGAUUGAACGUGGCUGGUGUCGUUCACGAUCGAGGCACGUUUAGGUCCCCGCAGUGAACUAGUUCCUAAGUUGACUAGUCAAUUAGGUGAUAGUUCGUCCGGAUGACGUACCU